UACGGGGGGGGCAAGCGUUGUUCGGAAUUACUGGGCGUAAAGGGCUCGUAGGUGGCCAACUAAGUCAGACGUGAAAUCCCUCGGCUUAACCGGGGAACUGCGUCUGAUACUGGAUGGCUAGAGAUUGGGAGAGGGAUGCGGAAUUCCUGGUGUAGCGGUGAAAUGCGCAGAUAUCAGGAGGAACACCGGUGGCGAAGGCGGUUCUCUGGGCCUUACCUGACGCUGAGGAGCGAAAGCGUGGGGAGCGAACAGG
rnacentral:rRNA from 1 species